rnacentral:rRNA from 1 species
CCUACGGGAGGCAGCAGUGAGGAAUAUUGGUCAAUGGGCUUACGCCUGAACCAGCCAAGUCGCGUGAGGGAAGACUGCCCUAUGGGUUGUAAACCUCUUUUGUCAGGGAGCAAUUGGCGCUACGUGUAGCGUUAUCGAGAGUACCUGAAGAAAAAGCAUCGGCUAACUCCGUGCCAGCAGCCGCGGUAAUACGGAGGAUGCGAGCGUUCUCCGGAUUUAUUGGGUUGAAAGGGUGCGUAGGCGGAAUGCCAAGUCAGCGGUAAAAUCGCGGGGCUCAACCUCGCUCCGCCGUUGAAACUGGCGUGCUUGAGUGGGCGAGAAGUAUGCGGAAUGCGUGGUGUAGCGGUGAAAUGCAUAGAUAUCACGCAGAACUCCGAUUGCGAAGGCAGCAUACCGGCGCCCAACUGACGCUGAAGCACGAAAGCGUGGGUAUCGAACAGGAUUAGAUACCCUUGUAGUC